rnacentral:rRNA from 1 species
AUCUGGGCGGCGGAAUUCAGGAUGACGGGCGUGUGCGGUAACGGGCGCGUUCGUCGUUUGAUAUUUCCGUCGCCGCGUACAGACGUCGCGACCUGUUCGUUGUCGGUCCCUGUUCGAAGGGGUCGCGUUCGAGCUCGUUGUGGGUGCGCGUUUGCGCGCGCGCUACACGGCGAAGACGCGAUUUUCUGGCCGACGACGGACAGUACGUAAGGGUGUCCGACGCCGUUGUACUCGUACAGGCGCGCGUCGGUGCCGGUCAGCGACGAAUUCUUCGGGCCUCUUUCCGACCCGUCUUGAAACACGGACCAAGGAGUCUAACAUGCGCGCGAGUCGCGGGGUGUCGAGCGUACUUCGGUGCGUUCGUUACGUUGCGAAACCCGUACAUGUAGAAGGCGUAAUGAAAGUGAAUAGGGAAGAUGGUGUUUCGAGUUCACGUUCCGCGAUCGUCGGUAUCGCGGCCGGACACCCGCAUUCCCGGGGCGUCUCAACGGCCCGUCGCGAAUGCGGACCGUCGACUCUCGGGUUGGCGGUCGGUUUGCGACGAACCGAGGCGCACCUAGAGCGUGCACGUUGGUACCCGAAAGAUGGUGAACUAUGCCUGGCCAGGAUGAAGUCAGGGGAAACCCUGAUGGAGGUCCGCAGCGAUUCUGACGUGCAAAUCGAUCGUCUGAGCUGGGUAUAGGGGCGAAAGACUAAUCGAACCAUCUAGUA